GAAGAAGAAAAUGGGGCUGAAAAACUUCACUGCCAUUUUUCAAAAUCAGACGACCCGUUUCCUUUCAAAGGGUAGCCAAAAAGUUCCCAUACACACCCAUUAGCGAGCUUCUUCUUUACCAAAAAAAAAACUAAAAAAAUUAGAUCAUCAUUUUCAAACCACCUUCUAGCUAGAACUGGAAACAAAAAAACAGUACAGACUCUCUCAUCAGCGCUGUCUCUUUACGCCACCCUCGAGUUACUACUAUCUUGCCCCACGUUGACUCAAGGAACCAUAGCCGCUGCUUCCACAGUACCGUUAACCUGAGGUGUUCAUUACCGGAAUCAUAACACAAGGCAGGCCAGGAGCCCACUCACAUCGUCCAUGUGCAUCUUCAGCGUGCUCGUUUUACAUUCUUGCCUCUGACCUCUCUGGACUUAGCUUUAUUCAAGCACUAGCCACUCAAAAAAAGAGUGAAGAUGAGGUACGGGAUAUCCAGUGGAGCUGUCUCCAUCAUAAUCACUCAAGGUAUAAAGCUUCUACCUAUUCUCAUGUAGUUGUAAUCUUUUACAUGUGCAUGCUACUGCAAAGGCAAGCUCCCGUUUUUCCUUUAUGUGCUAUGAAGUUAACAUAUAGUGUUGUAAGGUGUGUGGAUCGUCUUUUAAGUCCUAACCUGGUCACGGGUGUUCUUUCACUUGCUACGGGUACUGAAGGGGAUGGGGUGUGAUUUUUCCUUCAAGCGCAUAUGGUCUUGAAAACUUGAUUGCAUGUCCUAAGUUCAUGUUAAGACCUUGCCUAGUUAAUUAAGAAUGCUCUUACCCAAGGUUAAAGUUCAAGAACGGUAUGAGAAUGCUCUCUCAUUUUAUUUAGAUCGCUCAUUGAUUAUAAUAUUGUUGACUUAUUUUAUUAGAUUUUAAUGUAAUUUAAUUUCUUGACUAGAAUUAUCAGUAUAUAAUUAGUUAAAAAAUUAUUUAUGAUUUUAUGAUUUUACGAUCUGAGUUUAUUUUAUAUUUUUCGUGUCGUGUCAAAAAAUAUUUUUGACAACCUUGAACCCAGGAUCUUGACUUUAUUGAUCCACAAUCCCCAAACCAUAUUCGCAAACUAAAACUUUUUUUAUAUAGUUUAAAACAAGCACCUCGUGCAUGUAUUGAUUGCUUAGUGAAUUCUUAGUUUCUCAAUGGAUUUUAUAUUCGUAAAUUUUUAAGUGAACCCAGGUUAUAUUAUCAUGAUAACUAAAAUAAAAUGAGCUAAAUUUAUUUAUAAAAUGAGCACCACACGCUUAGAUUUAAAUUCCAUAGAAAGAUUAGCACCUGAUGACAAGUUAACUCGGGAAACAAAGGUAAUAACAAUGUUUUGAGAUUGAAUUCGACACUAGGUCUACUUAGUAGUUAGUACAUAUAAGUUGAAGGAUUGCUACCUUGACCAAUGAACUGAAAAUAUCUUUAAUUUAUAAUGAAUGGCAUACACCAUACAGUUUUACCAUAUCAACAGCAUGAAAAUUGAUAAUCGAUCCUUUAGGGAUAUUAUUCCAUUUCUUUAUUAAUUAUCAUAAAAACAUUUAUUAAAUGUGUUGUCCUCCAACUCUUUCCAUAAAAAGAAAGAGUUGUGAACCACAACAUACAUUUGAUCAUGGACAAAAGGUAAUCAAAUAGUUGCCUCCACUAGGACAAGUAAACGUGCUCGAUUUAUCAUCAAAAGCAUAACUAUAAGCUUGAGGACACUGCUGCUUGAAAGUCAUCGAAUAUUGGGUAGGAGGACAUGUUUCAGCUGUAUUAUGGUCUCCUGUGCAGCAGUACUGCGGCUGGUUAAAUGCCAAACACGCACUCUUGCAGGCAAUCACAGUCCCAUCUGAACCUUUCACUGCUAAACUAGGAUCACAAACAGCAUUCACGUUAGCUGCACAGCUUGUAGAAGGGCAGCCAGUAGAACCUCCUUGCGGGGUUACCGAAAUUGGGAGGUUAAAGCCAUCAACAAGGCUUAUAUCGUAAUAAUCUUUCCCACCAUCACCGCUUAGAGUAAAUUCUGCCAAGGAUGCUGGUGGGAUCGCACCGGCUCCAUUGCAUUCUAUGACACCAGAGGCACAGUCAGCAGUAGCACAAACAAACUUUCCCGAGGCAUCUGUAGAGCAUUGCGUUCUGGCCCACAAGCGGCCAGACCAAUUGACAGGGACACUCAGCGAAGAUGAAGCACCCGUUGCCAAUGUGAAGCCAGUUGAAGAUAAAGACGGACCGCCAGCAGCCGUUAGAGUUCCUGGCCAGACUGUGUAUGGACAGUUGUUUUUGAAGUCGAAAGUCACAGAUUGAGCUCCUGCAUGCGUGCAAGAUUUAUUUUUGUUGAUAUCAAUAAUUAAAUCUUGGUCGAUUCAAAGAUAACAUAAUUCAAUAUUUAAAAUCUUGUAUUAAUUCAGUUAUUUUUCUUUUAAAAAUAUAACAUAACCCAGGUUUUUUUUUAAUAUAUUUUUUUCUUUCUUGUUUUUUAUCUGGAAACUCUCCCUCCUGGAUAAGUUUAUUGGAUUCACGAAAUCCAUUGAAUAAUGAAAACUAGUUAAUAUUGCAUAUGCAAACAGAAAAUAUAUAUGUAGAAUAAUCAAAGUGAAUAAUAUGCAUAAUAGAGUUUUCCAUGCAAGAAUCUAAUAUAUGUAAUAUUGUAAAAGUACUUGCCAUAGAAGAAGAUGACGAGGGUGAAGGUAAUUAUAGCAAUGGGCAUACGACUCUCCAUUGCCGAGAUGCGUCGAAUUAAUUAAGACCUUUUCAGUAUCUUUCAAGAGAUUUGAGGUAAGCAAGAAACACUCUAUAUUUUAAAAAUAUUAUGAAAUGAGCAGACUUAAUAAAUAGUGUUAAAUUUGCAGACUAGUAAACAGAGGAACGUCCUGCUUCUGAUCACGUCAAAUGAAAGCAACACCCCAUUGAAUAUUGAAUGUAACUCUUGUCCAGCAGACGAGCCGUGAUGAAUGUGACACUCUUCAAAAUUAUCACACCGUGAUUAAUGCGAGAUUCUUCAAAAUUAAAGAAAAAAAAAUCACCACCUAUUAAUUAAAAAAUUUAGAAUUCAAAAAUAGACAUUGGUUAGAGAUUUAGGCAUUCGGGACAACUCGCUCUUCUGGCACCAGCACAGCACUUCGUCGAAAAGAAACCCAAUGAAAUAUACAAAUGCCCUUGGUUUGAACCACAAUAUAAAUGAAUUAUAUUCCACAAAACAUCGAAAGAUGUACUUUUAAAUUUAUUUUUUAAUAUUUUGGAUAAUAUAUUUAAAUUAAAAUUUUACUGUUAACUUCAAAUAUUCAUGUACAUGAGUUAAUAAUUGAUCUUAAAAAAAAAUUAUAUAUUUAUUUAAUAGCUCAGGACACGAAAACUUCUUUGCUCCGCCCUUGCUAAUAAUCAUCUUCCACACGAUGACAUUUGACAAUGAAUAUCAAAUUAUAAAAUUAUAAUUUAUUUAUAUUUAUAAAAAAAUAAAUUAUAAAAUUGGGUUUAUCACUUGAAGUGCGCGUAGACCGUCCAUGCAAUGACAUGCACUCAUCAACUAUUUUUAAUAUUAUUUAUAUUUAUUAAAUUAUAAAAUUAGAAAUAAACCACCCUGAUAACAAAAAAAAAAAAAAAACCCAAUGAAAUAUACAAAAGCCCUUAGUUUGAACCACAAGUGACUAACUAGAUAUCUCAAUUAACGAGAAAGCAGACUAGAAAACAGGCAAUUAGAGAAACGUCAAAUGAAACCAACACCCAAUUGAAUAUUGAAUGUAACAGUACCGGUCCCUUGUUUGAACCACAAGUGACUAACUAGAUAUCUCAAAUUCAAUUGAUGAGAAAGCAGACUAGUAAACAGCCAACAGUGGCAGUUCUCCUCAGGCAUUACACCGUGAUGAGUGCGAGACUCUUCAAAAUUAUCACACCGUGAUGAGUGCGAGACUCUUCAAAAUUGAUGAGAAAGCAGAGUAGUCCCUGGCUUCUGGAAUGAAUGUAACUCUGGAAUUAUUCCAAAUCCAUUUGUCUAAUGAAUGUUACUCUGGAAUUAUUCCAAAUCCACAAGUUUCAUAAUGUUGUGUUGAUUGUGAGACAUUAUUAUUUCAAAAACUGAAGGGGAUAAAAUUAUAAAAGAAUUUUAAUUUUAUAAAUUAUCUAAAAAAAAAAUAAUAAAAAUAAUAGGAACCAAAUUCGAAUGAAUAACAAAUUAAAAACGUACUUUGAAAUUUUGAAGUGCCACGUACGGAAAUCAAGAAAAGAAGAAAUAAGACAAAAAAAAAGAUUGUCGGUAACAAACUGAAAACUAUCUACAACACGUGCCGCCUCAUCCAUGACAGCAAUUGGUCAAUGAACAUCCCUGCACGCACCACUUGAUGUGUGUGGAAUUGCCCACGAACUAACCUGAACUCAUCAACUAUUUUUUUUAAUAUUAUUUAUAUUUAUUAAAUUAUAAAAUUGGAAAUAAACCACCUUGAUAAAAAAAAAAAAAAAAAAAACCCAAUGAAAAUAUACAAAUGUCCUUGGUUUGAACCACAAGUGACUAACAAGAUAUCUCAAUUAAUGAGAAAGCAGACUAGUAAACAGCCAAUUAGAGGAACGCCCUGCUUCUCACGUCUAAUGAAAGCAAUUGAAUGCAGGAAUAGGGCCAUACUCACAAGAAAAUUGAUUUACACCUGACAUAAUAUUUUGUAAGUGUAAAAGCUAUAUUUCUGUGUCUAUAAAUAUCAGGUAGAUUUUUUUAUGGAAAUAUCUUGUAAAUAAAUAUCAAAAUAUUUAAUAUCGCAAUUCAGAGCAUAUAUCUAAUUGUGUUUAAUAAUUUUUUUAUUUGAAUAAAUUUGUAUUUAACCAAAAGAUUAUCCAUGCCGAUAAAACGAUGUCUACCAAAUAUAUAUUUUUUUAUUUUGUAUUUUAAAAUAUUAUGAAAUGAGCAUCACUUUCCUAUAUUUAUUUAAUUAAUUAAAUUAAAUUAAAUGAAAAAAAUGUCUAUAAAAAAGAGAAAUUAAAAAAAAACAACAAAUAAAAAUACUCGAGAUAUCCCGAGUCAUUUUCAAAAUAAGUGAAAAAUCUUAUAGAAAGAAAAAAAAAAUCAAUGGAGCCCAAUAUCUAAUUAAAUAAAUAUUAAAGGAUGAAACUAAAAUAAACAUGAGCUUAAAAAAAGGGAAAAAACCAAGCAAACUCGGGUGAACCUCCUAAACCUGAGUUAAUCUCUAAAACUCCCAACUUAUGAAAUCCUAGACUUGAACUUGAUUAAGAAGCACAAUUCUCAACUAAUUUAAUGUUGAAUAAUGAAAACAGGAAAAAAAAUCAAUUUAAAAAAAAAAUUGCAAAAGUGAAAAAAAAGUUAGCAAUCAAAAGAAUGAGGAAUCAAAUCUGAUAGGAAAAAAAAACUUAUGGAGGAUGAUAUUGUAAAAAAAUAUCAAAUUAAAAAAUUAUCUCAAAUAAAAAAAUAGCAAUCAAAAGAAUAGGAACAAAAUUUGAAAGAUAAAAAAAUUAAAGGGGUAUGAAAUUGUCAAAGAAUUCUAAUUUAAUAAAUUAUUCCAAACAAAACAAAUAAUGAUCAAAAGAACAGCCACCAAAUCUUAAGGAAUAACAAAUUGAAGGCAUGCUUUGAAAUUUUGAAGGGGCACAAGCAAGAAUCAAUGAGAGAAAAAAGAAAAAGAGAAAGAAAAGGUUGUCGGCACCAAAUUGAACAACCAGUUCACUUGGUAUUACCAAACGGUCGACCGGACCAACUUAAAUUCCAGAUUUUGACAAUUUAAACCUGCUGAAUCUUGAACUGAUACUAAUCCUAUAUACAUGUAGAGUGAAGUGUUUGAGUCAUUUUAAUUGUGCUAUUAAGCUAAAAUAUAAAGAUUUACAAAAUCACUUAAAUGAACAAUUAAUUCUUAGUCUUCACUUGUUUUGCAUCUUGGAUAUCCUCAUUGAUUUUUUCAUGACAUCCUUCAUGCUUGUUGAUGUCAAAACUAAUUUUUGGGUUAUUCCCCACCAUUUUUUACCUUAUUCCUUUUCAAAAUAAAAAUAAAAUAAUAAAAUAAUAAUAGCAAGGAUACUAGCGACGUAGAAAAUGUUGGCUGGGGAAGGAUUUUAAAUAUAGAAAAAUUAAAGUUUUGGAGUCAAUUAAGGGCUGCAUUAAUGAAAUUUUCAGCCAAGAAUCAUUUUGAAAAAGGCAAUUAGGGACUUGAUUGAAGAAAUACAAAACCAAGGACCAAAUUGGAAAAGGCACGUGAAUAUAAGGGUUGAAAUUGACCGAAUCAGGGACCAGAUUGAAGAAAUUGGAAGUUUGUUGAUCAAUUGAAGGUCAAAAUGCACAAAUUCAAAACCAAGGAUCAAAGUGAAAAAGGCAACCAACUUCAAGGCUGACAUUUGAAUUUGAAAAAGAUGCAAUUGAAUUAAUUCUUAAAAUCAAAAUCUAAAUCGAUGACUUAAUUGAACAAAUAAAAAAUUGAGGACUGAUUUGGAGAAAAGGACUUCUUAGGCGCCAUUUUUAUUUAAAUGAAAUGGCGUGUUUUGUACGAAAACGAUGCCAUUUCAAGUAUUCUUAUUCCAAAAAGAAAAAAAAAAGACAAAGCUCAAAAUGGUGUCAUUUUGGAUGGCACUGUACAUCUUCUACUUCCCCUAGACGUGCUGUAGGCAGGGGAAAAAGGUUUUUUUCCCAUCCUUUACAGCACCUUUCUCUCUCCCUCCCUCCCUCUCUCUCUCUCUCUCUCUUUCUCUCUUUUUCUCUCUCUCCCACUUGCCUAAAAACCCUAACACAACCCACACCCCCUCAUGGCCUACCACCAUGAUGAAAGGGGCAGAGGGAACAAGCCUUACAGGCGACUCUGGGGCGGCUACACAGUGGACGCCCUAGCGCUACACUACCCCUUCAGCAUGACUAGACAGGGGUAGGGCAGCUCCCCCCCCCCGCCCUUUAUAAAUACCAUCCUUACCAGGAGGUUGGGGGGCGAAAGAAAGAAAGAAAGAAAGAAAAAGGAAAAAGGAACGAAACAAAAAAGAAAAGGAAAGAAAGAAAAACAAUGGAAAACAAAGGAAAGAAAGGGAAGAAAAAGAAAAACAAAGAAAAAAAAGGAAAGAAAACAAAGGAACACUCUUUGGCCUCUACUCGGAGAAGAAAAGGAACCUCUUCUCCUCAUCUCUCUUGCUAGUUAGUAGCAGCAGCCACCAUUCCUCCUAGUCGCCACCGCAACAAUGCCACCGUCAACAUCAGCAACCAUGCUACCCUCACUCCAAGUAAUCUUCUUCCCCUCUAUGUAACAUCUUCUUACCUGUUUUCCUUCUUCAUUUCAUUUGCAUGCAGAAUAUGAGCAAUUCACAUUCUGCAUAGUAACUAAUUACUGUGCUAAGCACAGUAACCAUUUAAUGGUUUUUUGGGCUGGGUCUAGCCUUAUAAAAAAAAAAAGAAUAUGUUGGGUCGACAUCGGCCCAACUCUUUUGGGCUGACCUCGACCCAAUUUCUUUUGGUUUGUAUUUUUACACUAUAAAUAUACAAAAUUCGUUAUUAAAAUACUUGUUUUUUCUCCAAAAUGUUGCAAAACAAAUAUAUAGAAAAAUAACAAAAAAACAUUUCUUGUUCUCAUGCAUAUGACCAAGUCUAAAAAAUAUAAGAAAUUUCAUAUUGUAUUUUCAUACAAAAUAAAAUUCAAAAAAAUAUGUGUUAGCAUGCAUUCUAGGCUUUAAUAACCAGUUUAUUAAAGCAAUCAGAACUACGCCUAUAUUUCAAAAAUACUAAAAAAAUAUUUUGUUUUCUUUUAGUAUCUAGGAUUAUAAACUUAUACAUAAGACGUAUUAUGGAUAUUAAAUAAAAAGGUAGUUCUUUUUUUUAUAUGUAUUGACAUUAGAACGGUUAGGUUUUUACCUGAUAAUAUAAGGAUCUCCUUACUAAGGAAGACUUUUCCUAAACCUUAGACUGGCCAACAAUUAGAAAACACAACAAUAUGUUAGUUAUAUUAGAUAAUUAAACAAUGCAGAUUACCUUAGGUAAGACGCAUUAAAGGUGCUAAUACCUCAUGUGAAACUUCAGAAAUUUAUAAUUUAGAUAUGUAGAUGACUUGGUGGAAACUCUGUAAAACCCCAACAAAAGACUUCACCAUGAUGAAUUGAAUAAUGAGAAAUAAAAUAUAAAUGGUGGUAAAUUGUAAACCCCCAAUCAAAUUUCAUGAUAUUAAUAAAAUUAUUGAUAAUUCAGAACCAAAAAUGGGAUGAUCUAGUUAAAAUAAAAUAAAAUGGAAUAGUAUUGAAUUAUUAGAAAAGAAAUUUUAGAGAGAGAUUUUUUUUGCAUGGUAUUUUAAAAGCGAGCAGCGAAAAGGCAUUUGGUUGAACGAAAAGAUACCUAAACUUGAUAUAAGGGUGUUUUAGUAAAUAUAGAUAGAUUUGCUAUAUAAAUUGCAAAAUUAUGCAGAAAUUAACUAGGAGUGCCGAAUGAAAGGAAAAGAGAGAGAGAGAGAGAGAGUACCUUGAGAGCAGAAAUUCAAACGGCCAUAUCUCUGAAUUGCACUGUUACAUUGGUUUGGUUUUGGGAUAUAUUAUACUUCUCACUACCCUCUAACAUCUAACCAUUCGGAUCUGAAUGUUCUAGUUCGAUGUGAGAGAUAUAGCCCUCACAACAUUUCAAGGAAAAUCUGCUUGCAGGUCAGUCAUGGUCUCUAGCAGUUUCCACCCUUGUCCACCGUUGGAUCCUGCUCAAGUUUGGAUAUGUGGGUCAUAUUGAUGAGCUCUUCAUUAUGAACGGUGGAGAUCAGGAUUAUAGACUCCGAUAAGAAGUUAGUCAUCGAAGAACAAUAUGUUGUCAAUUUUCAGGUCCGUUUUGGUUUUGUCUUGAUCUAGAAAGAUCUAACCGUUACAAUGCUAUGAUGUUUUGGUACGUGUUUCAUGUUAUAAUGGUGGAAAGUGUGGUGGCUUAAUUUGUGUUUAACCAUCAAAAGCAUGCUAUUUAUGAUUUAAAUUGAAGAAAAUCCUUAGUGUCUUUCCUUAGGCAUGUUCAGCUAUAUUAUUGAUAGUAGGAAAAGGGAGAUAUUGGUUGUCCAAUCUAUGAAUUUGGACUUAACAGUUUUAUCACCCACCUUUCAGUUGUGGUUAGGGAGCCAAAAUGAUAAAAUUCCAGAUUGGGUUCUUCACAAAGGUUGUAGGUAUAGAUGUUAUCUUUUAAACAAAACUGACCUCGUAUAAUUUGGAGUUAUAAAACUCCAUAUAUGUGUCGCGGGUGCGCGGCGUCGCGGCGAAAAUUCCACUUUUUAGAAUCUAGGAAGUGUGUAUGGUAUCUAUCUGGUAAAUGUGGGGAGACAAGAAAAUAGUCUUUUGUUGGUAGGAAAAUGGAAUGGGAGUCGCCACCUAGUAUUUUGGUCACUAGGAACCCUAACUGGUCUCAAAGAUUGGGUACGGGGACUGGUUGCGUAAAGGGAAGGUAUUAGCACCCCAAAUACGCCCUACCUAAAGUAAGCUGCAUUGUUUAUUUGUCUGAUAAAAUUCAAGGUCUCGUUGUGUUUCCUAGUUGUUGGUCCGUCUAUGGUUCAAGAAAAGUCCUCCUCAAUAAGGAGGUCCUUAUCUUAAGGGGUAAAACCUAAUCCUUCUAACGUCUAUGUAUGUUGGUCCGUCUAUGGUUCAAGAAAAGUCCUCCUCAAUAAGGAGGUCCUUAUCUUAUCGGGUAAAACCUAACCGUUCUAAUGUCUAUGUAAAAAAACCCAUAUUUUUAAUAUCAGGAAUACGUUUUACGUAUAAAUUCAUAAUCCCAAAUACUAAAAGAAGACAAAAAGAUUUUUUAAGAAUUUUUGAAAUAUUGGCCUAGUUCUCAUGGCUUGAAUAAACUGGUUAUUAAAGCCAAAAUGCAUGCUAAUACAUAUAUUGUUUUGAAAUUUCCUUUUGUUGUGUGAAAAUAUGAUGUUAGAAUAUUUAUAUAUAUAUAUUGGAGAGACUAGGCCGUAUGCAUGAAAACAAAACAUUUUUUUUUGUAAUUAUGUAUUUUUUGAUGUUUUGACGAAAAUCGGGUAUUUUAAUACCGGAUUUGUAUCUUUACCGUAUAAAAAUACAAACCGACAUUGAUCAAAAUACAGUAAUAAAAUUACAACAAAAUCGCAUAUUUUUUAAAUGAUUUUUGAAGAACCCUUUUUUAUUUUUUUAUUUUUUUUUUUUUAAAACAUGUAUACAUAUAUAAAUAAUACAAAACAAUAUAAUAUAUAAAUAUAUAAUAUUAAAUGGGUUGGGCUGGUCCGGCCCAACCAACUGGGCCGGACUCAGCCCAAAAAAUGUUGGGCCGAUUUCGGCCCAAAAUGGAUUGGGCCGAUCUCGGCCCAAAAAACUGAUAUUCUUCUCUGGGCCAGACCCGGCCCCGAAGACAGGGCCGGGCCAGGAUCUGCCUGGACCGGACCAAACGGGCGGGGGGAAUUAAUUCCCCCCCCACCCCUGCAUGCAGAACGCUACUCGUUCUGCAUGCAGAGAAGGAAAAAAAAUAAACACCAGAACAAGGGGGGAGGAAGAAUUACCUGGCGCGGAGGAGGCGAUGGCUUGCUGAUUGGAAUGCUUCGCUGGUGGUGCUGUGGUGGAGGCCGGUGGCGGUGUCAUGGCUCACGGACGGCGGCUCCAAGCGGCGGUGCUGCUAUUUCAAACGGUGGAGGGUGAGGUUACUGCUCUUCCCUUCUCCUCCGUAUGCCUUCCUCUUCUUUCGUUUUCGGUGGUUUCCUUUUAUCCUCCCGGUUUGUUGUCAAGUUUCCUACCCCGUUUCAAGCUUUUCCUUCCUCUCCGUUUGAGUUUAUCAGUGGUUCCCUUUUUAUUCGGUUCUGUUCUCUGUUUCUCUCUAUUUCCUCUUCUUUCGGUCCUCUCCCCUUUCUCCUCCCUUUCUUCUGUGUUCUUGGGUCUAUUUAUAGAGCCAAGAGGCGGGGCUUUUUAUGGCUGCACAUGGGGGGCAGGGGCUGCGGCGGUUGGUCGGCCAUUCGGGUGCAGCUGUCGAGACGUUACUCCCCUGUUUUCUGCAUGGCGCGCGGCGGGUGGUCGGCCAGCGGGCGUGGCUGGCGAGGUGCGGCUCCCUCGGUUUCCUGGCAAGGCAUGUGGUCAAGAGAGAGGCAGCACCGGUUUAAAGAAGAAAAACCAUUUUUCUUCCUUCUUCUGCAUCGCGUCCAGUGAGGAAGAAGAAAGGGGAACAGUGUCGUUCAAAACGACACCGUUCCGAUCUUCUUCUUCUUCUUUUUUUUUUUUUUUUUUGGCAUGAAACGGCGUCGUUUUAGGCAAAACGCGCCGUUUCAUUUAAGUCCAGCAAGACGCCAAAACGCGUCAAUUUGCAAAGCAGCCCUCAAUUAUCUUCUUUCCUUCAAUUGCAUCCCUGCCAAUUUCGGUCUCCGCCCCUAUAGUUGGCCGCGUUUUUCACUUUGGUCCUUGGCCUCUGAUUUAUGCAAUUGAGCCCUCAAUUGAUUAAUAAACUUUCAAUUUCUUCAAUUAGGCCCCUGAACCGAAUAAUUGCAGCCCCUCCAUUUACGCGCCUCUUCCAAUUUGGUCCCUGAUUUCGGAUUUUCUCAAUUAAGUCCCCAAUUGGCCCUUAAACUUCAAUAUUUAUGCAAUUAAGCCCCUGAUUUGACCUAAUAAAUUCCUAAAAAAUAUAUUUUGGCCCCAGAACUUAAAUUUCUUCUAAUUAAAACCCAAAUUGACUUAAAAAUCAAUUUUUCUUACAAUCAAAUCCCCUAUAAAUUCAUUUAAAAAUCCAAUUAAGUCCAUAAACAUCCAAAUUUGGGCUUUUCUCCUCAAAUUUCAAAAUUCCCCUCUCAAUAGGGCUCUCAUCCUUCAAGAAUAUACUGUCCUAACUCCAAUCUUUGUAUUUUUAACCUCAUUGACCAAUUUUCCAACCAUUUUCUGAGCACUCCCACCUCUUAUUAUUUUUUCUAAUUUCUUCCGGCUAUAUAUUUAUAUUUUUAUGGGGGGAACCCAAAAAUGGGUUACAACAGAUGCCCCCUCUUUAUAAUGCUUACGGAGCAGAGGUCUUGCGCAGUAAGUUUUAUAAAGAUAAACCCCAAAACGGAACUCCCGAAACUGAUCUGGUUGAAGCUUGAUUAAUCUGAAACUUGUCUUUUACAGCAAUCCUCCUCAACUUGGAAUCCCAUCUGGCGAUCUCCUUUAGUCAAUUUGGAAUCCCAUCUGGCGAUUCCUUUUUUAAUCAACAUGAAAAACGAGGUCCCAUCUGGCGACCUUCAAAUAGCGAAACAUGAGAUCCCUUCUGGCGAUCUCCUUUAAUCAAACUUGGAAUCCCAUCUGGCAAUUCCUUUUAUUCAAACGAAAUAUGAGGUCCCAUCUGGCGACCUCCAAAUAGCGAAAUACGAGAUCCCUUCUGGCGAUCUCCUUCAACUUGGAAUCCCAUCUGGCGAUUCCUUUUAUUCAACAGGUAAUACGAGGUCCCAUCUGGCGACCUCCAAAUAGCGAAACACGAGAUCCCUUCUGGCGAUCUCCUUUAUUCAACUUGGAAUCCCAUCUGGCGAUUCCUUUUAACCAACAUGUAAUACGAGGUCCCAUCUGGCGACCUUCAAAUAGCGAAACACGAGAUCCCUUCUGGCGAUCUCCUUUAAUCAACUUGGAAUCCCAUCUGGCGAUUCCUUCUAACCAACAUGUAAUACGAGGUCCCAUCUGGCGACCUUUAAAUAGCGAAACAUGAGAUCCCUUCUGGCGAUCUCCUUUAAUCAACUUGGAAUCCCAUCUGGCGAUUCCUUUCAACAUGAAAUAUGAGGUCCCAUCUGGCGACCUUCUAAUAGCGAAACACGAGAUCCCUUCUGGCGAUCUCCUUUAAUCAACUUGGAAUCCCAUCUGGCGAUUCCUUUCAACAUGAAAUGAGGUCCCAUCUGGCGACCUUCUAAUAGCGAAACACGAGAUCCCUUCUGGCGAUCUCCUUUAAUCAAUUUGGAAUCCCAUCUGGCGAUUCCUUAUUACCAAAGCUGAUAUCGAUGUCGUUCUUCCUGAUGGCAGGGUUCAAAACUUUUCAUUCUCUCUUUUUCUUGUUAUUCUCGUUGUUCCAGAAUCCACUAUGGUUCAAAACCGUGAUUCUUUGCUAUCAUCCUCUAUGAUUCUUUCUUCGUCUCCAAUCUUGUUGGAAAGCAUCAAGGUCUCCUCCUGUAACGAUCCAAAAAACAUAUAUGCAAUGCUUUAUGAUUAGAUGUCAUGCAUGCAUUCAUACCUGGUUUUGAAACAUAGGCCCCAUCACCUUCUUCGAGUUCAUGAGCCUCCUUCUUAACCUGAGCUUGCUUUUGAAGUCGCAUGCUGGAUUCAUCUCUCGUGUUGCCUCCUAUCAUAUUUUGGAGAAGAAAUCUCUGACUUUCUUUAAGUAGUCCUUUUCCCAAAAUGUAUGAUUUGUCAUUGCCUCUUUGUCAUGCUUUUGUCAAAUGCUUUAGCUUGGUUUUCAAAUCUAUAGGCUUCCGUACAUUUUAAACACGUAAAACUUUUCAUGAAAACAUCUCUUAUUGCCCCCAGUGUAGGGGUGUGAUUUUAGCCUAGGCUUUUGUAUAGAGAAGGAAUUCGUUCAGCCGAUGCUAAACUUUUUUAGGUGCGAUAACAACAAAACAUGCGCUAUUGGGAUUAAUGCAAAAAAAUGAUUGUUGUGAGAUCAAUGCAAAAAAAAAAAAAAAGUCAAUGGCCAAACUUUGCUUUAUUGAUUUAGGAGCGUACAUCAAACAUAAUAUCUUUUUACAGAGUCAGAAUUCACAGGUCGAGCUAGGUCUUCUCCAUCCAUUCUAGCCAACUUCAGCGCUCCUCCUGAGAAUGCCUUCUUUACUACGUAAGGACCCUCGUAAUUCGGUGCCCAUUUGCUUUGAUCGUCUCCAGGUAACGGCAAUAUUUUCUUCAAUACUAGAUCCCCUUCUUGAAACAACCGCGGUCUAACCUUCUUAUCAUAUGCCUUGGCCAUUCGUUUCUGGUAAAGUUGGUGAUGACAUAUUGCGGCCAUCCUUUUUUCACUGAUCAGGUUUAGUUGCUCAUAUCUCACUUUGGCCCACUCAACCUCUUCUAGCUCGGAAUCCAUUAAUACUCUUAACGAUGGGAUUUCUACUUCCAAAGGCAUCACUGCUUCCAUACCGUAUACCAAAGAAUAUGGGGUAGUCCCUGUCGAGGUCCUGACUGUAGUGCGGUAUGCGUGAAGUGCGAAUGACAACAUCUCAUGCCAAUCUCUAUAUGUGACUACCAUUUUCUGAAUAAUCUUCUUGAUGUUCUUGUUGGCGGCUUCUACUGCGCCAUUCAUCUUUGGUCGGUAUGGUGAAGAAUUCGAAUGCUUGAUUUUCCAUUUAGUACACAGCUCCGCUAUCAUUUUGCCAUUGAAAUUCUGUGCAUUAUCUGUCACUAUCUUUUCAGGAGGACCAUAUCGACAAAUCAAGUUCUUCUCUAUAAACCUCUUCACUACGUUCUGUGUUACGUGGGCAUAUGAACUAGCUUCUACCCAUUUUGUGAAGUAGUCAAUAGCUACGAGGAUGAAUCUAUGACCAUUGCUAGCUUUUGGGUUAACAGGCCCGAUCACGUCAAUUCCCCACAUUGCAAACGGCCAAGGGGAUAUUAGAUUAAAUAGAGGAGCUGGUGGCAUAUUGACCUUGUCACUGUAAACUUGACAUUUAUGACAUUUCCUGACAUAAUCGAUACAGUCUUUCUCUAGUGUCAUCCAAAAAUAACCAGCCCUUUGGAUUUUCCUCGCUAUCAUAUGCCCGCUAGCAUGGGUUGAGCAAAUCCCCUCAUGGACCUCCCGUAAUGCCUUUCUAGCAUCUGCCUCAUUCAAACACCUUAGUAGGGUCCCAUCAAAUGAUCUUUUGUACAAAAUCUCUCCAUCUAAAUAGAAGUCUAUAGCCAACCUUCUCAAAGUUUUCUUAUCCAUUUUGGAAGCUCCCACCGGAUAUUCGUGAUUUUGCACAAGGUUCUUGAUAUCAUAAUACCAAGGAUGUCCGUCUAUCUCUCCUUCAACUAAGCAACAAUAAGCUGGGUCAUUUCUAAUGUCAAUGUGUACCGGUUGUACCUUGCACUUGAGAUCAAUGGUAGUCAUAGCAGCUAACGUGGCCAAAGCAUCCGCAAAAUGGUUCCCCUCCCUUCCCAGAUGGGUGAAUCUAAUUCCUUCAAAUUCCUUUGCUAGCGUGGAUAGGUAUUCCUGGUACGGCCUCAACUUGUCCUCCUUGGUCUGCCAUUCCCCUUUAACCUGACAAAUAAUCAACAUUGAAUCUCUAUAUACAUCUAACUUCUUUAUCUUCAACUCUAAUGCCGCUUCUAAACCGAGGAUACAAGCUUCAUACUCAGCUGUGUUGUUGGUGCACUCGAAAUGUAGUUUAACCGAAACUGGAUAUUGUUUCUUAUUAGGAGAGAUUAUUACCGCACCGGCCCCGUUACCAUAUACAUUCACUGCACCAUCAAAAAACAUCGUCCACCAAUCUGUCUUCUCUUAUUCUUUCUCUAUUGACAAUAUAUCUUCAUCAGGGAAGUCAAAAUCCAAAGGUUCAUAAUCUUCAACAGCAUUAUCGGCCAGAUGGUCUGCAAUUGCACUUCCUUUUACGGCUUUCCUUGUCAUGUAUACUAUGUCAUAUUCUGCUAAUAGAACUUGCCACCUUGUAAUUCGACUUGAGAGAAAGGGCUUGUUACAAAUAUACCUCAGAGGAUCCACUUUUGAAAUUAACCAAGUGGUAUAGUAUAACAUAUAAUGUCGCAACCUCUUUGCAGCCCACACCAACGCACAACAAAGCCUUUCUAUCUCCGUGUAUCUAGACUCACAUUCAGUGAAUUUCUUACUUAAGUAAUAAAUAGCUCUUUCCUUCCUUCCGGUUUCAUCAUGCUGACCCAAUACACAUCCCAUGGCCGCUUCAGUCACUGUUAGAUACAAUACUAAAGGUUUUCCUGAUACCGGAGGCACCAGUAAAGGUGGAUUUUGUAAAUAAUGCUUGAUUUUAUUGAAUGCCUCCUCACACUCCUCAUUCAAGGUUCCAGGAUUCUUUUUCCUUAGUAGUCGGAAUAUUGGUUCACACGUCGUUGUUAACUGAGCUAUGAACCUAGCAAUGUAGUUUAAUCUUCCCAAGAAUCCUCUUACUUCUUUCUCCGUCUUAGGGGAUGACAUAGCUUGGAUGGCCUUCACUUUAUCUGGAUCCACCUCUAUACCUCUAUCACUUACCACAAAUCCUAACAGCUUACCCGAUUUAACUCCGAAUGAACAUUUUACAGGAUUGAGCCUUAAUUCAUACUUCCUCAGUCUCUCAAAUAACUUCCUCAAAACUUCAACAUGAUCCUCUUCCGGUCUGCAAUUGCACUUCCUUUUACGGCUUUCCUUGUCAUGUAUACUAUGUCAUAUUCUGCUAAUAGAACUUGCCAUUGCUCUUUGAUAGGUUGCUCCUGCAUUCUUCAAUCCAAAUGGCAUGACCUUAUAGCAGAAUGUUCCCCAAGGUGUGACAAAAGUUGUUUUCGUCUUAUCCUCCGGAGCCAUUUUUAUCUGGUUGUAUCCUGAAAAACCAUCCAUAAAGGAAUAUGUGGAACUCCGGGCAGCGUUGUCUACUAAAACAUCUAUGUGUGGUAGCGGAAAAUCAUCCUUGGGGCUAGCUUUAUUCAAAUUCCGAAAAUCCACGCACACUCUAAUCUUCCCCUCCUUCUUAGGCACCACAACAAUGUUAGAUACCCAUUGCGGAUAUCUAACUACUUCUAGAAAACCAGCAUCCCAUUGCUUCUCGAGUUCUGCCUUGACCUUGAUCCAGACAUCCGGGUGGGCCCUCCUCAGCUUCUGCUUGACUGGCUUACAACCUUCUUCCAACGGUAUCUUGUGUACUACAAUAUUUGUAUCCAAACCAGGCAUAUCUUCAUAGGACCAAGCAAAGACAUCUGAAUAUUCUUGUAAUAGGGUGAUCAUUUUGAUCCUUUGUUCAGAAGUAAUUAGGGUACCUAUUUUUAACUCUUUCUUAAGCUGAUCACUGCCCACAUUGAUGGUUUCGAGUUCCUCGACGAUAGGCUUCCAAGUCUGUUCCUGUUGUUCUACUAGCCUAGUGAAUUCACUGAUAUUGCUUUCAUCCCACUCUUCUUCUUCCAUAGCUAUCACAUGCUCGUUCAAGUUUGGCCAUUUAUUCUUGAUGCUAAAUGUAUGUGAUGUUGUGGGAGAUCCGCUUUCAGGAUUCCUGAAAGCGGGAAGUGUUUGGUGUAAAUGCAUAAAAAAAAGAAGGCAAUUUGUGAAAAGUGCAUGAUCUCACAAUUUAUUUAAAGAAAAGGUGGGCUCCAUGACAAACAUAAAAUCUAGCUGACAUCAUGAGCCUUGAUUGUCAACUAGAGGAAAUAAAAGCAAACAUAAGCAAUGACAAAAGCAUGUUAAGACAAACAAAAUUGGUUUACAUUUUGAAAACCACUGGAGCUUCUUGGGUCACCCAGUUCUGAAACUUCUCGUCUUGAGCUAACUUGCGCACAAAGGUCUUGGCGGAUACUUCUUCUAUGGUGUAGACCGUCAGUUGUGGGAGUGCUUCAUCUCCCUUUCUUGCUACUGUCUUCAUGUCAUCUCCUUCCACCUUGUUUUCCCCCAAGGUAUUUAUGCUCAUGUUUGACAGCUCUUGAUCAAGGCUUUCGGCUUCUUUAUCAUGUUACAUUAUGUAUGCAGCUUUUGGGAAUGACACGCUAAGGGGAGGGAUUUCCAGCUUUUCUUCAUCAGGCUCUCUUCCUUUAAUUCUAGCCAUCCUUCUUGCCCUUCUCCGACCAGCAGCCCACCGAUAAUCCUCUUGGUUAGGUUGGUACCCUAGCCCAAAUCUUUGAGCAGCACUUUUCAUCUUUGCCAGAUUAACCCCUUCUGGUAUCCUAAUAAUAAGGUUAUACUGAAAUGGGAUUCCGCGGUUCAAGAAGCAUAGACUUGCCAUCCUUGCUGCUUCUGAGAUCCUUGGCCUUCUUAGCACUGUGUUCUCCGACACCCAGUCGGUGUUCACAAUCUCAAAGGCAUGGAUAUUGUUACCCUUGCAAUCAUCCGCUUCGAUAAAAGGCACAGCUACAUUCUUUAUCAUGGAUACUGUGUCCUCGGCCUUGACAGUUACCAACAUCCCAUUCAUGAUAUACUUUAGGCAUUGGUGCAAUGACGAAGCUACUACCCCCGCUGCAUGAAUCCAAGGUCUUCCUAACAACAUACUAUAAGAAGGGUGGAUAUCCAUAACCUGAAGUGUUACUAGGAACAUUUGUGGUCCCACAUAUAGCUCCACUUCUAAAGUCCCAAUUAUUGGCCUAGGCGACCCAUCAUACGCUCUGGCCAUCAUAGUACUUGGCUUAACAUGGGAUUCAUCGAUCGGCAUUUCUUCUAGCAUGUGCUUUGGCAACACGUUAAGGGCCGAGCCAUUAUCAAUGAGUACUUUUCCUAUGAGGCAGUCCUUGCACCUAACCGUAAUGUAUAAAGGCUUGUUAUGUCCGGUACCUUCAGCAUCGAGCUCGUCAGCUGUGAAGUACAGGUAAUUCGUUGCAUGGAUCCUCCCCACUAGAUGCUCCAUGGUUUUGUGUUCGAUGUCUUGGGGUACAUAUGCCUCAUUCAAUACCUUUUGCAAGGCGUUUCGAUGCGGCUCAGAGCUGAGUAUCAAGGACAUAAGGGAGAUCCUAGCUGGAGUCUUCUUUAGUUGAUCCACUAUGCAAUAUUCGCUAUGCUUGAUCAACUUCAAGAAUUCAUUCGAUUCCUCUUCCGUUACUGGCUUGUUAACUUCUAGUGCUUUGUCCAGAUCUACCACUUCUUUGCCCUUUGACUUCCUCAACUCCUCGGGCGUAAAGCAACGACCACUCCUGGUCAAACCCCUUAUCUCAGGCUGGAACAAAGGAAGAGGAGCUCGGACGUUAGAGGCAUAACCAUAAUUAUAAGGCAUGGCAUUGUGAUUCCCUUUUGUGUAGGGCGGUUUAACCAAGAUUAGCCUUGGGGGCCCAUGAGCUGUUGGCUGGAUCCUGCAUACUCCUGUCAUUUCAUCUUGACCUUCCAUCAUACUCACCUCACCGCUGUUCUUCAUGGGUUCAAUCCUCAACUCCCCCAUUUUUAGCAUUUUUGCAAUCUUUUCGCAAAACUCGAUGCAAUCCUCAAUAUGAUGUCCAUCUCUUCCAUGGUAUUCACAAUAAUCAUAUCCCUCCGAAUGGCUCUCCACCUUUGUCUUUAGAAAUCCUGAUUGUACCAACAUGCCGUACAACCUCUUCAUGGACACCUUCGACACCUUGCAUUGAUUUCCCACUUCGAUCAUGCCUAUUCCACUACUAUUUGGGGCAUGCUUAGGCAAUGGGUUUGAAUUAACAUUGGGCUUGUCCUCAAAGGAUACCCAUCCCAUCUUAAUAAGCUCCAACAACCUCUUCUUGAAGGCGUAACAGGUUUCAAUCCCAUGCCCGGGAUUACCCCCAUGGUACUCGCAAGCCAACUCGGGCUUGUACCAAAUUGGGAAUGGUGGUUGUAGUGGUAGUGUAGGUAUAGGAGCUAUUUGUCCAAUGCUCAGAAGUUUGGCGUACAUGUCCUUCAAAGGCAUGGGUAAGGGUGGCAGUUGUUCUGAAGUGUAUUUUAUAUGGGGUCUUUGGUAGUGAUUUUGGUAGUUCGAUUGGUUAUUUGUUCGAUUAGGGGAAAAAGGUUGGUUAAAGUUUAUGCGUGAGAAUUGAGAGGUAGGUACUUGAGGAUUAUGAAAAUCUACUCUCUUGCCCUUAUACCCACCUUCCAGAUUGUUAACAUCGCCUUCUCUCUUUCUUCCAAUAAAACCCUUCUUCUCCACUGGCAUCGCUAUUCGCCCAGCUUUAAUCCCUUGUUCUAUCCUUUCAGCUAUGCGUACCGCAUCAUAGAAGUGUUGAGAGGAGCUACCCAUUAGGUGCUCAUAAUAAGGUGCUUUGAAGGUAUUGGCAAACAAGCUCACCAUCUCUGUUUCUAUCAAAGGGGGUUGGACAUGCAUUGCUUCAUCCCUCCAUCUUUGCGCAUAAGCCCUUACUGACUCCUGGCUCCUUUUCUCCAUUGUCAUUAGACUUGUUCGAUCAGGAGCGAUUUCCAUGUUAAACUUGUACUGUUUGAGGAAAGCCUCCACCAAGUCUCUCCAGCUCUUGAUCCUGA
rnacentral:lncRNA from 1 species